CCAGGCACUUGGGAGCAAUAUUCUUCGUGUUUCCUUUUGUUGCUCUUCCCAGGCUCCUUGCUGCUAGCAUGCUGAAAAGACGUGCAUCAGGGAUCUAGUAUGAAUAGAAACUAAGCAAUCAACCAUUUCCCGUGAAUCCAUUUGUUCUGCUUCAUACGGAGUUGGCUAAUCCUGCUCUGAAUUUUAAUGGCCUUAAAAAAGGACGUGGCAAUUGAAUUAUACGCUCUGCUUAUCAAAGAACAAAGAACAAAGUAACUUGCAGCCUACAAAGAACUGUAAGGUUAUCGGAACAAAAGAAAAUCUUCAAGUCGUUCAGCAGCUGCAUGAAGUGGUGUGUCCAGUCCCUUACCCAGGUUGACACUAGCUCCUUGGAGAGAAUGUAUGGGAAGGAAAACAAACCAGUUAGCAUUACAUGG